rnacentral:rRNA from 1 species
UCGUAUGAAUCAUGUAGAAUGCCUGUAUCACAGUUGGCCAAAAAACACGUAUUUGAACCUGAUACUAGUGAGAUAGCCAAUCCAGUGAUUACGAAGUUAGGCGUACCACACGGCCAUCCUGAGCUUGGACCACGUGGAUGGACGGCAGGGCCAUCUUUUUCGGCUCGUUGUUAUCAACCUCCCGCACCUGGGCCCAGACUUGGUGAAGCUUCAACCCUUGGGACACAUAUGAUAUCCAAAGGUUUAGGAUGGGAGAAUCAUGAGGUUGAAUAUGCCCCAAUGCCUCUUGGCUAUGUUGAAUGGGGUACUAAUGUCUUGAAGAAAUAUCAUACCCACCUGAAGGGGAGUGAAGAGGGCGUGGAUUAUGUCUAUGGAGCCAUUUAUUGCUCUUUAGGCGACUCUUCUGUCGCCCCUCCUCUUUUAAGGUCUUUAUUGGAGAAAUGA